rfam:Myotis davidii contig47426, whole genome shotgun sequence.
GCUGGUUUGGCUCAGUGGAUAGAGCAUCAGCCUGUGAACUGAAUGGUACUGGGUUCAACUCCAGUCAAGGGCA